CUUCUGAACACCGUUAUUUUUUUUAAAGUGUUACAGGAAAAGUUGCUUGUUUGGUUUGGUACCUCAUGAUUCAAUAUUGGCAGCGUGUUGCUAUUAUAUAGAGAUCUUUUUGGAAGAUAGCUGGAUUUAUAGAAAGAAAUGCCUAUGUGAGCUCAAUCCGUUACUAGCAUCCCCGAGAUAUUCUGCCGUAUUGUGAUACAGUGUUAUAAAGUUUAUCAUUCUACGAGCAUGAUAUUACCAUUCCAAGGAGUCCGACCAUCUAAGUCAACUGAGAAGUUGGAAGUAAGAGGAAUUGGAUAAACCUGUUGAUUAUCUGUUGGAUGCCCUAUUAGCUCUUAGUCAGACCCUUUAUCACCAUCAAGGGUAAAAUAGGGAAGCUUCAUCACUAUGAACUUAAAGAGUUAUGCGGAUUAUACUCUAGAAUGGAUAGUGAGUCAUAUCUGGUGGGUCACAUUGGGCCUGCGGCAUAUGUUUUGACCUUUUUAAUUUUGGGAAAGAGAA